rnacentral:rRNA from 1 species
CGCUGACGACCGGCGCACGGGUGAGUAACACGUAUCCAACCUUCCCAUUACUCGGGGAUAGCCUUUCGAAAGAAAGAUUAAUACCCGAUAGUACUUAAUUAUGGCAUCAUGAUUAAGUUAAAGAUUUAUUGGUAAUGGAUGGGGAUGCGUUCCAUUAGAUUGUUGGUGAGGCAACGGCUCACCAAGUCUUCGAUGGAUAGGGGUUCUGAGAGGAAGGUCCCCCACAUUGGUACUGAGACACGGACCAAACUCCUACGGGAGGCAGCAGUGAGGAAUAUUGGUCAAUGGGCGAGAGCCUGAACCAGCCAAGUAGCGUGAAGGAUGAAGGUCCUAUGGAUUGUAAACUUCUUUUAUAGUAGAAUAAAGUGAGCCACGUGUGGUUUUUUGUAUGUAUACUAUGAAUAAGGAUCGGCUAACUCCGUGCCAGCAGCCGCGGUAAUACGGAGGAUCCGAGCGUUAUCCGGAUUUAUUGGGUUUAAAGGGUGCGUAGGCGGAAUAAUAAGUCAGUUGUGAAAGUUUGCGGCUCAACCGUAAAAUUGCAGUUGAUACUGUUAUUCUUGAGUGUACAUAAGGUAGGCGGAAUUCGUGGUGUAGCGGUGAAAUGCUUAGAUAUCACGAAGAACUCCAAUUGCGAAGGCAGCUUACCGGGGUACAACUGACGCUGAGGCACGAAAGUGUGGGUAUCAAACAGGAUUAGAUACCCUGGUAGUCCACACAGUAAACGAUGAAUACUCGCUGUUUGCGAUACACUGCAAGCGGCCAAGCGAAAGCAUUAAGUAUUCCACCUGGGGAGUACGC